rnacentral:rRNA from 1 species
GAUGAACGCUGGCGGCGUGCCUAAUACAUGCAAGUCGAGCGAACAGACGAGGAGCUUGCUCCUCUGACGUUAGCGGCGGACGGGUGAGUAACACGUGGAUAACCUACCUAUAAGACUGGGAUAACUUCGGGAAACCGGAGCUAAUACCGGAUAAUAUAUUGAACCGCAUGGUUCAAUAGUGAAAGACGGUUUUGCUGUCACUUAUAGAUGGAUCCGCGCCGCAUUAGCUAGUUGGUAAGGUAACGGCUUACCAAGGCAACGAUGCGUAGCCGACCUGAGAGGGUGAUCGGCCACACUGGAACUGAGACACGGUCCAGACGCCUACGGGAGGCAGCAGUAGGGAAUCUUCCGCAAUGGGCGAAAGCUUGACGGAGCAACGCCGCGUGAGUGAUGAAGGUCUUCGGAUCGUAAAACUCUGUUAUUAGGGAAGAACAAAUGUGUAAGUAAAUAUGCACGUCUUGACGGUACCUAAUCAGAAAGCCACGGCUAACUACGUG